UCCGGGGGAAGCUCACUGCCGAGGCCAUCCGCUGGGUGCGUUCGUCACCCCUUAACCCCGCCUCGGGGAAGGUCUGAGGGAAGGGCCGCCCGCAGCUCUAGCAGAGCUCCGCCCGCGAUGGGGCGGGUGAGCCACCAGCAAGGGGGGGCGCCGCGAAUUGGGGCCGGUCCUGGGCAGGAGAAGCCGCGCUGGUUGCGUAGGGGGUUCGGGUAACUCCUCCCCCUCGAAACCCCGGUGGAUGCUCGUAGCCCCGCGGUGCUUUGAGACAGACUCACGGCCGGCGAUCGCUGAGUCCAAUGGGUGAGGUGGGGCAUUGCUCUACAACCCAAUUCAGACUACUCUCCCCCGGA
rnacentral:RNase_P_RNA from 2 species